rnacentral:tRNA from 1 species
GGGCCCGUAGCUUAGCCAGGUGGAGCGUCUGGCUCAUAACCAGAUGGUCGCCGGUUCGAAUCCGGCCGGGCGGGCCCA